UGGGGAAUCUUCCGCAAUGGACGAAAGCCUGACGGAGCAACGCCGCGUGAGGGAAGAAGGCCUUCGGGUUGUAAACCUCUGUCCUAAAGGAAGAAAGAAAUGACGGUACUUUAGGAGGAAGCCCCGGCUAACUACGUGCCAGCAGCCGCGGUAAGACGUAGGGGGCAAGCGUUGUCCGGAAUUACUGGGCGUAAAGGGCGCGUAGGUGGUCCAUUAAGUUAGAGGUGAAAGUGCGGGGCUUAACCCCGUUAUUGCCUCUCAUACUGGUGGACUUGAGUGCUGGAGAGGGGAGUGGAAUUCCCACUGUAGCGGUGAAAUGCGUAGAGAUUGGGAGGAACACUAGUGGCGAAGGCGGCUCUCUGGACUGCAACUGACACUGAGGCGCGAAAGCGUGGGGAGCAAACAGG
rnacentral:rRNA from 1 species